rnacentral:rRNA from 1 species
UUUAUGGAGAGUUUGAUCCUGGCUCAGGAUGAACGCUGGCGGCGUGCCUAAUACAUGCAAGUCGAGCGAACAGAUAAGGAGCUUGCUCCUUUGACGUUAGCGGCGGACGGGUGAGUAACACGUGGGUAACCUACCUAUAAGACUGGAAUAACUCCGGGAAACCGGGGCUAAUGCCGGAUAACAUGUUGAACCGCAUGGUUCUA